rnacentral:rRNA from 1 species
AACGAACGCUGGCGGCAGGCUUAACACAUGCAAGUCGAGCGCCCUUUUCGGAGGGAGCGGCGGACGGGUGAGUAACGCGUGGGAACGUGCCCUUUUCUUCGGGAUAGCCCAGGGAAACUUGGAUUAAUACCGGAUACGCCCCCUCGUAGGGAUACGGGGUGGGGAAAGAUUUAUCGGGGAAGGAUCGGCCCGCGUUGGAUUAGGUAGUUGGUGGGGUAACGGCCUACCAAGCCGACGAUCCAUAGCUGGUUUGAGAGGAUGAUCAGCCACACUGGGACUGAGACACGGCCCAGACUCCUACGGGUGGCAG